rnacentral:rRNA from 1 species
UACGUAGGCAGCAAGCGUUGUUCGGAAUUACUGGGCGUAAAGAGUGUGUAGGCGGUGUUCUAAGUCUGUUGUGAAAUCUCCCGGCUUAACUGGGAGGGUGCGGCGGAAACUGGAAUGCUAGAGGAUGGGAGAGGUAAGCGGAAUUCCUGGUGUAGCGGUGAAAUGCGUAGAUAUCGUAAGGAAGACCAGUGGCGAAGGCGGGUCUCUGGACAGUUCCUGACGCUGAGGCACGAAGGUCAGGGGAGCAAACGGG